GACGAACGCUGGCGGCGUGCUUAACACAUGCAAGUCGAACGGAAAGGCCCUGCUUUUGUGGGGUGCUCGAGUGGCGAACGGGUGAGUAACACGUGAGUAACCUGCCCUUGACUUUGGGAUAACUUCAGGAAACUGGGGCUAAUACCGGAUAGGAGCUCCUGCUGCAUGGUGGGGGUUGGAAAGUUUCGGCGGUUGGGGAUGGACUCGCGGCUUAUCAGCUGGUUGGUGGGGUAGUGGCUUACCAAGGCUUUGACGGGUAGCCGGCCUGAGAGGGUGACCGGCCACAUUGGGACUGAGAUACGGCCCAGACUCCUACGGGAGGCAGCAGUGGGGAAUAUUGCACAAUGGGCGGAAGCCUGAUGCAGCAGCGCCGCGUGCGGGAUGACGGCCUUCGGGUUGUAAACCGCUUUCGCCUGUGACGAAGCGUGAGUGACGGUAAUGGGUAAAGAAGCACCGGCUAACUACGUG
rnacentral:rRNA from 1 species